rnacentral:lncRNA from 1 species
AGAAACGAAGAAAACGGAUUUGGACCGGGGAAAAACGAAAGUGUUGAAUAGUCGAUCGUGUCCGCUGAUAUCCGAGGUAAGUCUAUUAGCUAUUUAAUUUUAUUAAAUUAGUAUAUGUGUAUGUAUAUCAAUUUUAUUUUUGUUGAGUUAAAUUUAAAAGUAUAAAAUUCGAAUUGAAAGUAUGAAAUUAUAUAUAUAUGUGUGAUAGGUUCGAAUGACUAUGAAUAUGCAAAUAUGCAUAUAAAUGUCCUUGUAAUAAAUUUAGGUAUGAAUAUAUAUAUGUAUAAAUUAUAUUCGAAUAUACAUGUGUAUACAUGUAAGUUUUGUUGUAUUGAAUUUAGGUAUGAAAUUACAAAGGUAUGAGAUAUAUUCGAACAUAUGCAUGUAUGUGUGAAUAAGGUGUGAAUUUAGUAUAAAAUAUUUGUAUAAGUUGGAGCAAAUAAGCAUGUAUACUUAUGAAUAAAUAUUUAUAUUGAGUAUAAGUAUGAAAUUAUAUUUAUACAUAUAUAUAUGUUAAAUUUGAAUAUGUAUGAGUAUAUAGGUAUAUAUUCUUGUUUCGAAUAUAAGCAUAGAGUAAUAUAUAUUUGUUAGAUUCGAAUAUGUAUAUAUGUACAUGUAUAAGAUCUUGUAUUGAAAUGGUAUAUGAAAUUAUAUAGAUAUAUAUGGAAUUCAAAUGUUAAAAGUACAUAGUAUAUUAUAAGUUAAAUCUUAUGAUAUUAGUAGUGGAAUCUAAAGUAUGAGGUUAUAUAUAUAAAUGUGUUUCGGUUGAAUUAUUGAAUUAUUUAAGUUAGAUUUGAUGAUUGGGAUUUAUAUAUGUCCAUGUGUUUUAAAGAUAUAAGUUAUGAAUAUUGAACUGAAUUUUAUGUGGAUUUUAUAUACAAAUAUGAAAUACAACUUCUGUGAAUUGAGAUUCUUUUGUUAAAGCUCAGUACCAAUCGGAUUUAUUGCCAGUGAAAUUAUUCAGACUAUACGUCUAGCAGGCUAAGUGCCGGUGAUCUGAAUCAGGUUAUAAACCUAGCAGGCUAAGUGCUGGUGAUCUGAAUCAGGUUAUAAACCUAGCAGGCUAAGUGCCGGUGAUCUGAAUCAAGUUCUGAAUCAGGUUAUAAACCUAGUAGGCUAAGUGCCGGUGAUCUGAACCAGGCUAUAAGCCUUGCAGGCUAAGCGCCGGUGAAUCUGUUAAAUUAAGUGAUUAUAUGCAUUUGAUAUAUAUAUAUGAUUUUGGUUAUAUGUAUAGGCUAGAUAAUAUUUUGGGAGUCGUACUUUAAUGUACUGUAUAUAUAUAAUUAAUAGCCAUACGAAAUUAGCUUAUUUUUCUUAUGGUUUAACUGAACAGAAAUGUUAUGUUUUGUUAUAAAAGGUUAAAGUAGAAUUUAUAAUUAUACUUACUUAAUAUUUCACUAAUUUAACAUAGAUGUAAAAUUUUUGAAUUCUACUGAAUGUUUGUGUUAAGUUGUGUUUUGUCAGGUAACGCCUCGUAACCCUAAUUUAUCAACGUAUACAGGUUAGGGGUGUUACAAGGGUAGUCUAUGUUCACAACUAGCUUUGCAAAUGCGGUGUUGAUAAGUGAUAGGAGCUCAUAACAUUGUUGAAUCCAUAAGAAGGACGAGAUUUCUAAUCCAAGUUUUAAAUUCAAGGCAAUUGGAAACA